rnacentral:rRNA from 1 species
GUCUAUGGCUAUUCCAUCCUGAACACAUUUGAUCUCAUCUAAUCUCAGAGGCUAAGCAGGGUUGGGCUUGGAUGGGAGACACAAGACU